AUGCUUAUCUGGCAGGGGAGACACCAUAAUCACAAAAUUGCCCAUCCAGGUCAAGGCUUAUGUGUUACACUCCAGAUAUGCUGAUCCCUGUGAUUUCCCUAAAGGGAUUUCCCUCAGCUUGACUGCCUAAUUUGUGGUAGUGGUGGACUGCAUUCAUGCUCUCCCCUG
ensembl:snRNA U1 U1 spliceosomal RNA